rnacentral:lncRNA from 13 species
GGGGAAUAGUAAAAGAUACAUCCCCAUGCACUUCUAAGUGUUUAGGUUUAAAUCCUGGCUGUAGAAUUUUCUAGUUGUAAAAUCUUGGGUAAGUUAUUAGAUCUCAUUCUGGCUUAGGUUCCUCACGUGUAAAAUGGGGCUAUAAUGCUUUAUGUGGCUGUUAGAAAGGUAAGGAGAUACGCUAUGUGCUUAGAAUAGCUUGUUCCUGAAGCUCAUUGGGAUGUUAGCAUGAUGCAGAAAGAAGACAGGCACAGCUGGGAGGUAUGGAGUCUGUGAGGAUAGUGCCAAGAGAAAUAUUUCAAAUUUUAGAAUGAUUCUUAGAGGCAAUGGGAAACAUUGAAAUAUUUCUGUGUAAUGAAACUAUGCUAUCAUCUUUGUUCUUUAUAAAGAUUCCUUUGGUAGAUGAAGUUACUGCAUCAUAAUUUAUUUUAUAUCUUAAUUCUGAACUCUAUACAACUUACCAAAAACCAUAGUUAAUAGUCACUAGGAGCACAGACGUGUGAAAUAAUAUGCUUUUGAAAACUUAUUAAGUAUAACAGUGACCAUGAUCUCUCCCAGAAAUGCAUUUUGGGGUUCACUCAGCUAAUUUGAAGGUCUCGAAGCCCAUCUGAUUGCUUGUGAUUAGGAACAGGAUAUUUGUGCCACUUACUGGUGAACUGUGGGAAGAAGAUCAGCUCCUCAGGCAGCUCAAGAAAAGUCUCCAGACAAAGUCUCUCAGGUAUGCCUGCCCAAGGUCAAGGCUUAGUUGGAAAGAGGGCCUGGGGAGACCAUCCAAACCCUGGUUAAGGAGGGUCUCUGUUCAUGAUCCUUAUCAUGAAGAUACGGGGUCUCCCUUUGUUGUCCAGGUUGAUCUUGAACUCCUGAGCUUAAGUGAUCUUCCUACUUCAGCUUCCCAAAGUGCUGGGAUUACAGGAAUGAGCCAACAUACUGAACCUGAAUUAAAGAUUUAUUAAAAAAAAAACUUGAAUGUAUAUUUUUCAAAAAAAAACUUAAAUAUAUACUUUUCAAAGGUUCUACUAAAUUUAUGUCUGUGAAAUUGAUGUCUGAAAGUAUGUGUAUACAUAAAAAUAUAAUAGUAUUAUCUACUCUCUUUUAAAGAAACUGAGAUCUCACUGAAAGUAACUGAGAGGACCUAGUUCUCCCACAUUCUUUUUUCUUAUUAUUACAAUGUUUGCCGAGUAUAAAGUUUACCAAUUUAAACAUUUUAUGGUUGAAUGGUCUGUGGCAUUAAGUAUACGCACAAUGUUGUGCAGCCAACCACCACCUAGUUGUAGAACAUUUUUA